rnacentral:misc_RNA from 1 species
GAUGAAGAACGUAGUGAAAUGCGAUAAGUAAUGUGAAUUGCAGAAUUCAGUGAAUCAUCGAAUCUUUGAACGCACAUUGCGCCCCUUGAUAUUCCGAGGGGCAUGCCUGUUCGAGCGUCAUUAUAACCCCUCAAGCUCAGCUUGGUGUUGGGGCCUGCUGCACUGGCAGCCCUUAAAAUCAGUGGCGGCGCCAUCUGGCUCUAAGCGUAGUAAUUCUUCUCGCUAUGGAGUCCUGGUGGAUGCUUGCCAUCAACCCCCAAUUUUUCUAUGGUUGACCUCGGAUCAGGUAGGGAUACCCGCUGAACUUAAGCAUAUCAAUAAGCGGAGGA